AAGAGAGUGAACAGGUGUCAGCUGGGUGGAGUCUGGAUCUCUGGUUCAGAGGAUAGCUCUGGAAAGACACUGCAUUAGGGUGGAAUACCUUUCAGGGCCUAAGACAAGAAGAAACAAUAGGAAGGUUUGGAGACAACAGGUGCAGUUGCAGGACUGGAGAGCAGAGUGGUCUUGAUGGGGUUUGGAUCCUUUUGCUCUCACCACAAAGAUGGCACAGUCUUUAUGUCUUUGAAGACUCCUUAAAAUUAUUUUAUGUCUGACUCCCCUGAUGAAAGUUGGAUGCUUCUAUUGUCACCACAAAGAUAUUAAAGGCUUUAUAAGUCUUUAUAGACUCCUUGAAGUUCUUUUAUGUCUAACUCCUUUUAAAAUUUUAGAUACAUACUUGUUGAGGAUCUUUUACUCAGGCAGCUGAAGGUAAAAUUUAAGUCUUCACACAGAGAGGAAAUAUUAUGUGCG
rnacentral:lncRNA from 1 species